GGUCUUAUGGUCUAGUGGUAUGAUUCUCGCUUAGGGCUUACCCUGAGUUAAUAACUUGUUUGCGAGAGGCCCCGCGUUCGAAUCGCGGUAAGACCC